UACGUAGGGGGCAAGCGUUGUCCGGAUUCAUUGGGCGUAAAGAGCGUGUAGGCGGCCAGGUAGGUCGGUUGUGAAAACUGGAGGCUCAACCUUCAGACGUCGACCGAAACCAUCUGGCUAGAGUCCGGGAGAGGAGAGUGGAAUUCCUGGUGUAGCGGUGAAAUGCGCAGAUAUCAGGAGGAACACCUGUGGUGUAGACGGCUUUCUGGACCGUAGCUGACGCUGAGACACGAAAGCGUGGGUAGCAAACAGG
rnacentral:rRNA from 1 species